AAAUGUGCAACAAACAGGUAUCACAGAGGCAUGUAGGUUCUGGGGAAACCUAUAUAGCUUUGUUCCUGCCAACAUGCAUGUAUUCUGUAUUCUUUUUCAAGUAUCAUUUUCCACAGGAAAACAAGUUACCUCUGAUUUAUGGCAAAGGAGCCUAGUGGAAGAUCUGGCCAGGGUUGUGUGUGAUCCUACCACUAAAUCAGUAGGGAUUUUGAUAAACUAGAGGAUCUUGUUCAUCCAUCGCUGAUUUCUCUAAAAGUGCUGGAGAGAGAUGUCUUAAAUUAUUUCCAAGGAUUUUUAUGCUGAAUUUGGUAAAACUUUACGUUGGAUGUCACCUAAAUGUUGCUAAUGUAACCGCAAUGAACUGUGACCGUCCACAGUGGUGAAUAUGACAAAUGACCAGGAGAGAACACACCAGGAAAGGAAACGGCCAUGGUCUGCAGAAAUAACUAAACUGAGGCUCCAAACUGGAGGAAGAGGAGAUGAUGAUGGUCCUGCACUACAGGCAGUCCUUAAUGCUAAUACCAGCUCUCAAUAAGGCCGGGUGGCUACUGAGCUAGCGGUGUCCUGGAAGUUUGAUUUGGAAAGGUACCAGAGAAUGGCUUGUGAAGGAAGAACUACAAGAGAAGGCUUCUGAGCUGCACUAGGUGAGUGUUAUCUGUAACAUUCAUCCUGCUAUUUGCUGCUGUUAGGGGGAAACAGCCACAUGCAGAGAAGAGAUACCUAGGCCACAAUCCUCUUUUUUAGCUUGUUACAAUUACAUUUCCUUUUUUGCUUUUUAGGAUGCUGCCUACCAUCAUGUGAUCCAAGUAAGUUCUGCAUACCAGAACAACAAUUAAAGUCUUAGCAAGGGAGAAAAAAAGUAAUAGGAUCAGAGCUAAGUUAGAAUUGCAAAACUCUAUUUCUGCAUAAUGGCUUUCCUUGCAAAUCUGGCAUGCUAACGAGAGAGUCACACGUACAAACUGGUUCAGGUAUUGCACCAAGCAAUCUGGACUACAAAUCUUGUAACUAUU